GAUGAACGCUGGCGGCGUGCUUAACACAUGCAAGUCGAGCGAGAGAGUUCUUCGGAACAAUCUAGCGGCGGACGGGUGAGUAACACGUGGGCAACCUGCCUCAUAGAGGGGAAUAGCCUCCCGAAAGGGAGAUUAAUACCGCAUAACAUCAUUGGAGGGCAUCUUCCGGUGAUCAAAGGAGCAAUCCGCUAUGAGAUGGGCCCGCGGCGCAUUAGCUAGUUGGUGAGGUAACGGCUCACCAAGGCGACGACGGGUAGCCGGCCUGAGAGGGUGACCGGCCACACUGGGACUGAGAUACGGCCCAGACUCCUACGGGAGGCAGCAGUGGGGAAUAUUGCACAAUGGGCGCAAGCCUGAUGCAGCGACGCCGCGUGAGGGAUGACGGCCUUCGGGUUGUAAACCUCUUUCAGCAUCGACGAAGCGAAAGUGACGGUAGGUGCAGAAGAAGGACCGGCCAACUACGUGCCAGCAGCCGCAGUAA
rnacentral:rRNA from 1 species